rnacentral:rRNA from 1 species
AAUAGAUACCCAGGUAGUCCAUGCCGUAAACGUUGGGCACUAGGUGUGGGGCUCAUUCCACGAGUUCCGUGCCGCAGCAAACGCAUUAAGUGCCCCGCCUGGGGAGUACGGCCGCAAGGCUAAAACUUAAAGGAAUUGACGGGGGCCCGCACAAGCGGCGGAGCAUGCGGAUUAAUUCGAUGCAACGCGAAGAACCUUACCAAGGCUUGACAUGCACGGGAAGCCACCAGAGAUGGUGGUCUCUUUGGACACUCGUGCACAGGUGGUGCAUGGUUGUCGUCAGCUCGUGUCGUGAGAUGUUGGGUUAAGUCCCGCAACGAGCGCAACCCUCGUCCCAUGUUGCCAGCGGGUUAUGCCGGGGACUCAUGGGAGACUGCCGGGGUCAACUCGGAGGAAGGUGGGGAUGACGUCAAAUCAUCAUGCCCCUUAUGUCUUGGGCUUCACGCAUGCUACAAUGGCCGGUACAAAGGGCUGCGAUACCGUAAGGUGGAGCGAAUCCCAAAAAGCCGGUCUCAGUUCGGAUUGGGGUCUG